GACGAGGGAUCCUAGCGUUGUUCGGAAUCAUUGGGCGUAAAGCGUAUGUAGGCGGCUCUGUAAGUCAGGUGUGAAAGCCCUGGGCUUAACCCAGGAAGUGCACUUGAUACUGCAGAGCUUGAGUAUGAAAGAGGGUAGUAGAAUUCCUGGUGUAGUGGUGAAAUACGUAGAUAUCAGGAGGAAUACCGGUGGCGAAGGCGGCUACCUGGUUCAAUACUGACGUUGAGAUACGAAAGCGUGGGGAUCAAACAGG
rnacentral:rRNA from 1 species